rnacentral:piRNA from 1 species
UCCAGCUGUGCCCUUGAACCCUGCAGAGAGA